AUACUAUUCUUGAAGAGCUAAAGAGGCUGUUGGACACUAAGGAAGAUGAUGCAAAUGUUGUCCCAAUUCAAGAUCAUCAACCUCGGUCUAUCUCUAAUGACUGGGCCAUUAGAACUGAAAUGAGGGAGGAGAGAUGGAAAGAAGCUAGAUCUUCUCUUGUGGAGAACAUUUUGAAAGGAGAAGAUGCAAGUUCCUCAUCCUGCCAACUGUGCAGAUCAAAUGCAGCUGUUGUGCGCUGUAGGGACUGCCUCGCUUACCCUUACCUCUGUGCAGAAUGUGAUGAGAAACGACAUGGUAGCUUCUUUGUUCUCCACAAUAGAGAUUCACUUGUCUCAGGGUUUUUGUACAACCUUUACCUCCAUCAACAGGAUUCUUCCAGGCAGCUGGUCAAAUUUCUGUUAAACAUCUUGUUCGACUGCUGCCUGUAGAAAUACCUACCCAUAUUUGUGAUUGCAGUAACGGGACAGUCCUUGUUUCUUCAGGCAGGCCCAUGACCCUGAUCACUAUGAAUGGAAAGGAAGAUUUUUGCAUAACAUUUUUUUUUUCUUCUAAUAUGUAUUACCAUUUUCUUAAGCAAUUUAAAAAAAAAAAGUGGAUCAGUCUGAGCACCACAGCACUCUUGAAGCCAAAAAGCAGUAGGGGGCGGGUACACUCUUGAUGGAGAUGAGAAAGAGGGAGAUUUGAAGAAAGACUGUUGGAAGAGAGAUGGCUGACAGACAUUACAAAAGAAGGGAAUAUCACUGGAAAAAGAGCACUGAAGGGAGGGCUGUGUUUGUUUGGGUUGAUUUUAUAUAUCCACAGUUUCUCAGAAAUUAUUUACUGCACUUUUGAAUGCUGGACAUUUUAAAUUUGACUUUUUAUUUUGUGGACUCAGAAGGCUCUGCAAAUGCAGCAACACAGCUUGGAAGAACUGAAGACCGAGCUUUCACUGCAUGAAGAUUGUGUUCAUCAGUGGGUUUCAGAUGUUCAACAAUGGGCAGAAGAAAGUGAGCGACAUGGGAGUGGUGACAUGAGAAGGCUUCAAGAGGAAAUAGAAGGUCUAACCGUCAGCAUCAAAAGGCGUACACAGCGUCUGUACAGUCAAACAGAUAGCAUCAAGCGGCGCCAUUCUUUGCGCCUCAGAAGGACUGAAGAGAAAAAGAAGCUAGCUGCUGCAGUGGAAGAGUACAACAGUAUAGCAGAUCCAUCCCAGAAGCUUGGCUCAGUUGAAGACUUCUUCACAGCUGAAACUGUUGCUUGGCCUUGGCAAAUCCCUAGCAGUACUGAAUCGGCUCCCUUUCUCACCAAGAGGAAGGUGUUUGACAAGGUGAUGGCAGUGAGACGCCUUCAGGAAGAGAGAGGUCUAAUUUGUAAGGAGAUGAAACAGCACUGGACGGUCAUGAGACAGAAGAUUUCCAAAUUCGAAGCACUGAUUAAUGACAUAAGUUCAAAAUCUCUUUUUCCAACCCUGUCUGACACUGCAUGCAAAGGUCUCCUCUGCAUUGUUUGAAAGAAACAUUAUGAACUUAAACAUUUUAUGCAGUUGGUAAAGGCAGGCUAUGUGAAAAUCCUCCUCUCAUGAUUUAAAUUAAUGGAGCUGUCUACACUUAAAAGAUCCAGUUAUGCAGUUUACAUUAAGUGUGUCAUUUUUUGUGAUUAGUCUUGUGACUUAACUUAUUCAGCUUAUAAGUACUUAUUGUACUUGUCAAAAUUAAAUAAAAU
ensembl:lncRNA